rnacentral:lncRNA from 1 species
AACCUUCAAAUGCAGCAAUUUUAUAACAAAUGACAAAAUGGAGUACUUUUGGCAUCCCGGAUAUAACUCUUUGUCUAACAUAUUAAGCAUUUGUUCAAAUCUGGUAUGAUUUCGAUUUUGGAAGGUAUCUUCAUUCCCACCAACAGCAAAGGUUCCUCUAUUAAUAUCUUCCAUUAGUGUCUCAAUUUCAUCCUCAUCACCAUCUAAAUCAUAGUCCAUAAACUCCUCAUUUUGAGAGAAAAUAUUCUGACCAAGUUCAUUGGGUAUACGUGGAAUAGGUUCACCCUAGUAAAUCCACUUAUCAUAUGAAGGCAUUAUCCCAUUUAUGCACAAAUGUGAAGACACUUCUUCUUGGGUUUUAGUGUAUAGGUUCAUACACUUGAUACAAGGACAUCUAAUGUCAACUGUUGGGCCAAUUGUUGCACGUACAUGCUCAUGAAGCUUUUGACUCCAUUGCGAUAAGUUGUUGAUAUACGCUCAUGAUGCGUCCAACUCUUAUCCAUGAAAUUAAGUUCAACCUGAAAUUUAUUCAUCAACUCAAUUACAUCAACUCAACCAGUAAUUUAAAAAAUAACACAAGACACAAAAGAAAAAUGAUUAUUGCAGUCAAAACAAGGACGACAAAUCACUAUCAUUAUAAUGUAAACAAAAUAAUUAUUGCAGUCAUGUAUAUAAACAAGGAUGAAAUUCCCAAUCAAAACCCUGAAAAAAAAUGAUUAGAGCAAAUUCCAACGCACGAAUGACCAAAAGAAGUCAUUUCUUGAUUAGCAGACAAAACUGGAAGAGCUAAACAUAUUUAAGCAUCCUAAUACAUAUUACUUUGGUGUUAACAUAAAACUAUAAUCCUGACCAUUACUACAUAGUGGUGUAAGUGCAGCACAUGCAAUUUGCUACCUAUCUUUUCUGAAAUUAUGAGUACUCCAAAAAAGAGUAAUAAACUAAAAAAACUAAGAAAGAAUUGGUGUAAUGAGUAUGCUAUCAAGUAUGCAUCACAUCAUGAAUCCUCAGUUCCUCACUACACAAUCUUUUCCUUAUUGUUCCUUUGAUUUGAUGACUAGCGUGUAAGUGUUCGCUCUAGAUAUCAUAAAAUUAAAAGAUGUCACUAAUACAAUAUUAUUUCAAUACCAAAUACCCAAAUUGAUGGAGAGCAUGAACUUAUAGAUUUGAUCCAUAGGUAUAUGUGUUUAACCAAAAUAUAUGGGAGUGACUUACAAGGUGAGAAACAUAGGUUAAGCAUUUGGAAGCAAAAAUAAGCACAAGUAGAUAGUAUUGGAGGUGAAAGUAUACAAGAAAGCCUGAGACACUAAUUCUAUCUAUUAACUUAAUGAAAAGAAUAGACAGAGCACCCAAAUGGUAAGCAUAAUUAAAAGACCUAUCAAGCCACAAGGUAAACACAAUGAAAGGCCUUCAAAUACAUGUAAACAUGGUACAUAGCACAAACUGGGACAAGAAAAACAGAGUAGCAUAAGGAACAAAGAAGCAGAAAUCUAAAUCUCGUAUAAACACUCAAACUGUAAAACUGGAAUUCAUCCACAAUCUAGCAAGUAUCCAAUAAUUCACCCCAAAAAAACUCAAAAUAAUAACAGAUACAGGAACUAUAAACUCAAAUGCAGUCCUACCCGAUACCCAAUUAAAACUCCACAAAUAAUUUGGCAAAAUAUAAACUGCAAAUAAUAACUAAGAGUUGAGAUUUGAUUUCUUAUCGAAUUGAAAGAGAAUAGAAGAAAAAAAAUAAUCCUAGAACGCGGAUGGGAUCGACAUGAGUGCAAGCGAAUGAGAGAAGUAGGACAUGUGACUGUGAUGGAGCGAGCGAAGCUCUGGGAUCGACCUAUAUGUGAGUUUUGGCUAAGUACGAAAGGAGAAACCCAAAUUGGUAUAUGUGAGUUUUGGCCAAGUAAGAAAGGG